GAUUUCCCUUACCUUACAGACUUUGCCUGUCGAAGAACCGAGCUGGUGAGAUGUCAGUUAUUCAGGGAAGGAGAUAUUGAGUCAUCCAUCCAUGUGGAAUAAAAAAUAAGAGUUAAAUGGGCUUGGCCUUCACAAUGACUUCACUACAAACAGGAAUACUGCUGCAGGGGCUUGGCCUUCACAAUGACUUCACUACAAACAGGAAUACUGCUGCAGGGGCUUGGCCUUCACAAUGACUUCACUACAAACAGGAAUACUGCUGCAGGGGCUUGGCCUUCACAAUGACUUCACUACAAACAGGAAUACUGCUGCAGGGGCUUGGCCUUCACAAUGACUUCACUACUAACAGGAAUACUGCUGCAGGGGCUUGGCCUUCACAAUGACUUCACUACAAACAGGAAUACUGCUGCAGUGUUACAGACUUCACAAUGACUUCACUACAAACAGGAAUACUGCUGCAGGGGCUUGGCCUUCACAAUGACUUCACUACAAACAGGAAUACUGCUGCAGUGUUACAGACUUCACAAUGACUUCACUAUAAACAGGAAUACUGCUGCAGGGGCUUGGCCUUCACAAUGACUUCACUACAAACAGGAUUACUGCUGCAGGGGCUUGGCCUUCACAAUGACUUCACUACAAACAGGAAUACUGCUGCAGGGGCUUGGCCUUCACAAUGACUUCAAUACAAACAGGAAUACUGCUGCAGGGGCUUGGCCUUCACAAUGACUUCACUACUAACAGGAAUACUGCUGCAGGGGCUUGGCCUUCACAAUGACUUCACUACUAACAGGAAUACUGCUGCAGGGGCUUGGCCUUCACAAUGACUUCACUACUAACAGGAAUACUGCUGCAGGGGCUUGGCCUUCACAAUGACUUCACUACAAACAGGAAUACUGCUGCAGUGUUACAGACUUUACAAUGACUUCACUACAAACAGGAAUACUGCUGCAGGGGCUUGGCCUUCACAAUGACUUCACUACAAACAGGAAUACUGCUGCAGUGUUACAGACUUCACAAUGACUUCACUACAAACAGGAAUACUGCUGCAGGGGCUUGGCCUUCACAAUGACUUCACUACAAACAGGAAUACUGCUGCAGUGUUACAGACUUCACAAUGACUUCACUACAAACAGGAAUACUGCUGCAGGGGCUUGGCCUUCACAAUGACUUCACUACAAACAGGAAUACUGCUGCAGUGUUACAGACUUCACAAUGACUUCACUACAAACAGGAAUACUGCUGCAGUGUUACAGACUUCACAAUGACUUCACUACAAACAGGAAUACUGCUGCAGGGGCUUGGCCUUCACAAUGACUUCACUACAAACAGGAAUACUGCUGCAGUGUUACAGACUUCACAAUGACUUCACUACAAACAGGAAUACUGCUGCAGGGGCUUGGCCUUCACAAUGACUUCACUACAAACAGGAAUACUGCUGCAGUGUUACAGACUUCACAAUGACUUCACUACAAACAGGAAUACUGCUGCAGGGGCUUGGCCUUCACAAUGACUUCACUACAAACAGGAAUACUGCUGCAGUGUUACAGACUUCACAAUGACUUCACUACAAACAGGAAUACUGCUGCAGGGGCUUGGCCUUCACAAUGACUUCACUACAAACAGGAAUACUGCUGCAGUGUUACAGACUUCACAAUGACUUCACUACAAACAGGAAUACUGCUGCAGUGUUACAGACUUCACAAUGACUUCACUACAAACAGGAAUACUGCUGCAGGGGCUUGGCCUUCACAAUGACUUCACUACAAACAGGAAUACUGCUGCAGUGUUACAGACUUCACAAUGACUUCACUACAAACAGGAAUACUGCUGCAGGGGCUUGGCCUUCACAAUGACUUCACUACAAACAGGAAUACUGCUGCAGUGUUACAGACUUCACAAUGACUUCACUACAAACAGGAAUACUGCUGCAGGGGCUUGGCCUUCACAAUGACUUCACUACAAACAGGAAUACUGCUGCAGUGUUACAGACUUCACAAUGACUUCACUACAAACAGGAAUACUGCUGCAGGGGCUUGGCCUUCACAAUGACUUCACUACAAACAUAAAUACUGCUGCAGGGGCUUGGCCUUCACAAUGACUUCACUACUAACAGGAAUACUGCUGCAGGGGCUUGGCCUUCACAAUGACUUCACUACAAACAGAAAUACUGCUGCAGGGGCUUGGCCUUCACAAUGACUUCACUACAAACAGGAAUACUGCUGCAGGGGCUUGGCCUUCACAAUGACUUCACUACAAACAGGAAUACUGCUGCAGGGGCUUGGCCUUCACAAUGACUUCACUACAAACAGGAAUACUGCUGCAGGGGCUUGGCCUUCACAAUGACUUCACUACAAACAGGAAUACUGCUGCAGGGGCUUGGCCUUCACAAUGACUUCACUACAAACAGGAAUACUGCUGCAGUGUUACAGACUUCACAAUGACUUCACUACAAACAGAAAUACUGCUGCAGGGGCUUGGCCUUCACAAUGACUUGACUACAAACAGAAAUACUGCUGCAGGGGCUUGGCCUUCACAAUGACUUCACUACAAACAGGAAUACUGCUGCAGGGGCUUGGCCUUCACAAUGACUUCACUACAAACAGAAAUACUGCUGCAGGGGCUUGGCCUUCACAAUGACUUCACUACAAACAGGAAUACUGCUGCAAGGACUUGGCCUUCACAAUGACUUCACUACAAACAGGAAUACUGCUGCAGUGUUACAGACUUCACAAUGAUGGCUCUGGUCAAAGGUAGUGCAUUAAACAUAGGGAAUAGGGUGCCAUUUGGGACGCAUAAAUGACUUCCACUGCUGCAGGGCUUUCAGUUCACAAUGUACAGGAGGAGUCUGUUCCAAGACAAGGACCUGGGCAGUGGAUGGAUGGAUGACCUUGGCAACACCAACACAAAACAUUUUCCAAUUGGUCUGUUAACACAAUAGAAAGUGGAAGUUCAUACUACAGGUUUUCACCUAAGUUAGUUACCUCCCAGAUAGUACAGCUGUGUCUAUCGCCUGUGCAGUGUGUUACUGCAGGUAAAAAGGGAUAUUGGUAGAUUCAAUGAAAUUACCUGUUAUGAAUAUUCAGUGGGUCUUUCAUGUUUUGUUUUGUUUUGUUCUUUUUUAGCACCAGAAGGAUACUGCUGCCUUAGUCUCAGUCGUGGUUUUAAAAAACAGAGUUCCCCAGAGAAACCAGCAUAUAGAGUCUGUAGAAGCCCUGGCGGUAACUAGUUGAGAUACUGCUGCCAGAGUUCCCCAGAGAAACCAGCAUAUAGAGUCUGUAGAAGCCCUGGUGGAAACUAGCUGAGAUACUGCUGCCAGAGUUCCCCAGAGAAACCAGCAUAUAGAGUCUGUAGAAGCCCUGGUGGUAACUAGCUGAGAUACUGCUGUCAGAGUUCCCCAGAGAAACCAGCAUAUAGAGUCUGUAGAAGCCCUGGUGGAAACUAGCUGAGAUACUGCUGCCAGAGUUCCCCAGAGAAACCAGCAUAUAGAGUCUGUAGAAGCCCUGGUGGUAACUAGCUGAGAUACUGCUGUCAGAGUUCCCCAGAGAAACCAGCAUAUAGAGUCUGUAGAAGCCCUGGCGGUAACUAGUUGAGAUACUGCUGCCAGAGUUCCCCAGAGAAACCAGCAUAUAGAGUCUGUAGAAGCCCUGGUGGUAACUAGCUGAGAUACUGCUGCCAGAGUUCCCCAGAGAAACCAGCAUAUAGAGUCUGUAGAAGCCCUGGUGGUAACUAGCUGAGAUACUGCUACCAGAGUUCCCCAGAGAAACCAGCAUAUAGAGUCUGUAGAAGCCCUGGUGGUAACUAGCUGAGAUACUGCUGCCAGAGUUCCCCAGAGAAACCAGCAUAUAGAGUCUGUAGAAGCCCUGGUGGUAGCUAGCUGAGCUGCUGCUGCUAUGCACCAAACCAGUAGUGUGUCUGUGUAAGCUAGCUGAAGGGAAUACAUAGAUGUACACUAGCCUUGAAAUCCCAUAGAGGAAAUAAAGAAAUUGCACUUCACUUGAACUCCAGUAAGAGUGGGUCAUCACAGCAGGGGGAAAAAACAUUUGUCAUGAAAGAUUCAGCGGGAAUCCUAGGAAACACACUGAGUUCUUCCAGGUUAUCCUCCCAGGGGUUGAAACAUGAGACGUUCCAGGUUAUCCUCCCAGCGGUUGAAACAUGAGACGUUCCAGGUUAUCCUCCCAGCGGUUGAAACAUGAGACGUUCCAGGUUAUCCUCCCAGGGGUUGAAACAUGAGACGUUCCAGGUUAUCCUCCCAGGGGUUGAAACAUGAGACGUUCCAGGUUAUCCUCCCAGCGGUUGAAACAUGAGACGUUCCAGGUUAUCCUCCCAGCGGUUGAAACAUGAGACGUUCCAGGUUAUCCUCCCAGCGGUUGAAACAUGAGACGUUCCAGGUUAUCCUCCCAGCGGUUGAAACAUGAGACGUUCCAGGUUAUCCUCCCAGCGGUUGAAACAUGAGACGUUCCAGGUUAUCCUCCCAGCGGUUGAAACAUGAGACGUUCCAGGUUAUCCUCCCAGGGGUUGAAACACGAGACGUUCCAGGUUAUCCUCCCAGCGGUUGAAACAUGCGACGUUCCAGGUUAUCCUCCCAGGGGUUGAAACAUGAGACGUUCCAGGUUAUCCUCCCAGGGGAAAGGGGUUGAAACAUUAGCUGAGGAGAUUUUAAAAUCUCUACAGCAAGCCUGAUGGAGGUGGAGAGUACGUGUGUGUGUGUUUAUUUAUUUCCCACUGUGCAUUACUGUAAGUGCCGUGGUGUACUGACUGCAGAAUAGCCAGUAGAGACCAAUAACCAGGCGUGAGACUUCUCCCCCUCUCCUCUUCUCCUCUCCCCCUCUCCUCUUCUCCUCUUCUCCUCUCCCCCUCUCCUCUUCUCCUCGCCCCCUCUCCUCUUCUCCUCUCCCCCUCUCCUCUUCUCCUCUCCUCUUCUCCUCUACCCCUCUCCUCUUCUCUCCUCUUCACUUUAUCUCUGUCUGCAGUAUGACACUUAAGAUCUGGUCAGUGUUUCAUCCCCAUCCUCCAUUUUCUUCUUAAAGACUAUGUGCCUCAUCGUCUUCUCAAACGUCCAUAUUUGUUUUCAAUAUGGGAACUGACCUUAACGAUUGUUCUUAGGUACUGCAACUCUCAGAGGGUUUAAUCAUUAUUCUACACAUACACGGAGUGUACAAUACAUUAGGAACACCUUCCUAGUAUUGAGUUGCACCCCGUUUUGCCCUCAGAACAGCCUUAAUUCGUCUGGGCAUGUACUCUACAAUGUAUCGAAAGCGUUCCACAGGGAUGCUGUCCCAUGUUGACCCCAAUGCUUCCCACAGUUAUGUCCAGUUGGCUGGAUAUCCAUUGGGUGGUGGACCAUUCUUGAUACACACAGGAAACUCUUGAGCGUGAAAAACCCAGCAGCACUGCAGUUCUUGACACACUCAAACCGGUUCACCUGGCACCUACUACCAUACCCCGUUCAACGUCACUUAAAUCUUUUGUCUUGCCCAUUCACCCUCUGAAAGGCACACAUUUACAAUCCAUGUCUCAGUUGUCUCAAGGUUUAAAAUCCUUUGUUAACUUGUCUCCUCCCUUUCAUCUACACUGAUUGAAGUGGAUUUAACAAGUGACGUCAAUAAGGGAUCAUAGCUUUCAGCUGGAUUCACCUGGUCAGUCUAUGUCAUGGAAAGAGCAGGUGUUCCUAAUGUUUUGUACACUCAGUGUAUAAUAUUACUGAUAAAACUGUAGUUGUGGAAGAAUUUCCUCUGUAGACAGAAUACGAGACUUUAUCAAUAGUUACUGAACAUAUUUACAUCUUCUACAUUUCCACAUAGCCACGUAAAUGACUGAACAAAAAUGCCUUUAUGCCCCUAUGAUCUGACAAACUGUUGUGAAACAAGUUCCUGAUGAUGGUAAACCUGGCUAAUUUAAUCCAGAACACCUUCACUGGUGAAUAGAAUCCGUCGAUAUCCUCCACACAACACAGUCUAUUGAGAAAUCCUGCCUCGAUUGAUCACAACAUCAUCUGGUGGCUUGGACCUGUCAAAGACAACCAGGAGGAUAUCUGUGAGACGGACACAUAUUAGAACAUGUUUGUGGAGGUUACAUAGAAUUCGAUAAUAAACAUAGAUAUUCAGAAUGUGAUUAAGUGACUCCUGGUCACGUUUUAGACACAGUAGGAUGCCACUUCUCUUACUUGUCUAUUUUCCUCCAGCGUAUCUAUGUGUCUGUCCAGAGUAAGGCUACAGGCAAGAUAGUGUGAUUAAUGAAAUGAUGACGCGUCACUUACAUAACAUUAAACAUAAGUCAGAAUAAGAAUUUUUCGACAUUUUGUUACGUUACAGCCUUAUUCUAAAAUGUAUUUAAAAAUAUAUAUUUACAAUCUACACACAAUACCCCAUAAUGACAAAGUAAAAAAAACAGAAAUACCUUAUUAACAUAAGUAUUCAGACCCUUUGCAAUGAGACUCGAAAUUGAGCUCAGGUGCAUCCAGUUUCCAUUUAUCAUCCUUGAGAUGUUUCUACUACAUGAUUGGAGUUUACCUGUGGUGAAUUCAAUUCAUUAGACAUGAUUUGGAAAGGCACACACCUGUCUAUAUAAGGUCCCACAGUUGAGGUCAGAGUAAAAACCAAGACAUGAGGUUGAAGGAAUUGUCCUUAGAGCUCCGAGACAGGAUUGUGUCGAGGCACAGAUCUGCGUAAGGCUACCAAAAAAUGUCUGCAUCAUUGAAGGUCCCCAAGAAUAGAGUAGCCUCCAUCACUCUUAAAUGGAAGAAGUUUGGAACCACCAAGACUUUCCUAGAGCUGGCCGCCCGGCCAAACUGAGCAAUAGGGGGAGAAGGGCCUUGGUCAAGGAGGUGACCAUGAACCUGAUGGUCACUCUGACAAAGCUCUAGAGUUUCUCUGUGGAGAUGGGUGAACCUUCCAAAACGACAACCAUCUCUCAAAAGGCACCUAAAGGACUCUCAGACCAUGAGAAACAAGAUUCUCUGGUCUGAUAAAACCAAGAUUGAACUUUUUGGCCUGAAUGCCAAGCGUCUGGAGCAAACCUGGCACCAUCCCUAGGGUGAAGUAUGGUGGUGGCAGCAUUAUGCUGUGGGGAUGUUUUUCAGUGGCAGGGACUGGGAGACUAGUCAGGAUCGAGGGAAAGAUGAACAGAGCAAAGUACAGAGAGAUCCUUGAUGAAAACCUGCUCCAGAGCACUCAGGACCUCAGACUGGGGCGAAGGUUCACCUUCCAACAGGGCAACGACCCUAAGUGCACAGCCAAGACAACGCAGGAGUGGCUUCGAGACAACUCUCUGAAUGCCCUUGAGUGGCCCAGCCAGAACCUGGAUUUGAAACCGAUUGAACAUCUCUGGAGAGACCUGAAAAUAGCUGUGCAGCGACGCUCCCCAUCCAACCUGACAGAGCACGAGAAGAUCUGCAGAGAAGAAUGGGAGAAAUUCCCCAAAUACAGGUGUGCCAACCUUGUGGCGUCAUACCCAAGAAGACUUGAGGCUGUAAUCAAUGCCAAAGUUGUUUCAACAAAGUACUAAGUAAAGGGUCUGAAUACAUAUGUAUAUGUGAUAUUUCAGUUUUUUAUUUUCAAUACAUUUGCAAAAAUGUCUAAAACCUGUUUUUGCUUUGUCAUUAUGGGGCAUUGUGUGUAGAUUGAUGAGGGGGAAAAACUAUCAAAUACAUUUUAGAAUAAGGCUGCAACGUAUUCAAAAUGUGGAAAAAGUCAAGGGGCCUGAAUAUUAAUACAGUAAGACAGUUUUACUCUGUCCAGUGUCUGUGUUCUUUUGUCCGUCUUAAUCUUUUCUUUUUAUUGGCCAAUCUGAGAUAUGUAUUUUUCUUUGCAACUCUGCCUAGAAGGACAGAGUUCCGGAGUCGCCUCUUCACUAUUGAAGUUGAGAAUGGUGUUUGGCGGGUACUGUAACGUCCUGACCAGAGUUCUUAUGUGUUUUGCUUGUUUAGUGUUGGUCAGGACGUGAGCUGGGUGGGAAUUCUAUGUUGUGUGUCUAGUUCGUCUGUUUCUAUGUUCAGCCUGAUAUGGUUCUCAAUCAGAGACAGCUGUCAAUCGUUGUCCCUGAUUGAGAAUCAUAUAUAGGUGGCUUGUUUUGUGUUGGGGAUUGUGGGUGGUUAUUUCCUGUCUCUGUGUUUGUGUUCUGCACCAGCUAGGACUGUGACGGUAUGUUCUGUUGUUAUUUUGUAUAGUGUAUUGUUUUGUGUUGAUUAAAUUCAUUAUGGAAAAUUA